rnacentral:rRNA from 1 species
CUUAACAACUAAAAGGUAAUACCAUAGAAGAAACCUAUGCUUUUUGGCGGCCUUUUUCCUAAUCAAAGGAACUUGUUUUCAAUCGAAAUUACCCGUUAAAUUUUACUUUCUAUAUAAGCCUUUAUACCGUCGUCUUUAGAAUAAUUUUCAACAAAAUGAUCAAAAACGAUCCCCUCCCCAAAAAAGCCAGAUCAAGGUGAAGCAAAUUAGAAAGAAAAAAUGAGUUAUUCAUAAAAAUUAUUUAAAGAUUCAACUUAAAACAAAGAUAAAUUAAGAUUUGAAAGUACCUAAAGAUUAAUAUUCCUUAGAAAAAAAGUAAAAAAAGGUGU